GGGUUGUGAGGUUAAGCGACUAAGCGUACACGGUGGAUGCCCUGGCAGUCAGAGGCGAUGAAGGACGUGCUAAUCUGCGAUAAGCGUCGGUAAGGUGAUAUGAACCGUUAUAACCGGCGAUUUCCGAAUGGGGAAACCCAGUGUGUUUCGACACACUAUCAUUAACUGAAUCCAUAGGUUAAUGAGGCGAACCGGGGGAACUGAAACAUCUAAGUACCCCGAGGAAAAGAAAUCAACCGAGAUUCCCCCAGUAGCGGCGAGCGAACGGGGAGCAGCCCAGAGCCUGAAUCAGUGUGUGUGUUAGUGGAAGCGUCUGGAAAGGCGCGCGAUACAGGGUGACAGCCCCGUACACAAAAAUGCACAUGCUGUGAGCUCGAUGAGUAGGGCGGGACACGUGGUAUCCUGUCUGAAUAUGGGGGGACCAUCCUCCAAGGCUAAAUACUCCUGACUGACCGAUAGUGAACCAGUACCGUGAGGGAAAGGCGAAAAGAACCCCGGCGAGGGGAGUGAAAAAGAACCUGAAACCGUGUACGUACAAGCAGUGGGAGCACGCUUAGGCGUGUGACUGCGUACCUUUUGUAUAAUGGGUCAGCGACUUAUAUUCUGUAGCAAGGUUAACCGAAUAGGGGAGCCGAAGGGAAACCGAGUCUUAACUGGGCGUUAAGUUGCAGGGUAUAGACCCGAAACCCGGUGAUCUAGCCAUGGGCAGGUUGAAGGUUGGGUAACACUAACUGGAGGACCGAACCGACUAAUGUUGAAAAAUUAGCGGAUGACUUGUGGCUGGGGGUGAAAGGCCAAUCAAACCGGGAGAUAGCUGGUUCUCCCCGAAAGCUAUUUAGGUAGCGCCUCGUGAAUUCAUCUCCGGGGGUAGAGCACUGUUUCGGCAAGGGGGUCAUCCCGACUUACCAACCCGAUGCAAACUGCGAAUACCGGAGAAUGUUAUCACGGGAGACACACGGCGGGUGCUAACGUCCGUCGUGAAGAGGGAAACAACCCAGACCGCCAGCUAAGGUCCCAAAGUCAUGGUUAAGUGGGAAACGAUGUGGGAAGGCCCAGACAGCCAGGAUGUUGGCUUAGAAGCAGCCAUCAUUUAAAGAAAGCGUAAUAGCUCACUGGUCGAGUCGGCCUGCGCGGAAGAUGUAACGGGGCUAAACCAUGCACCGAAGCUGCGGCAGCGACGCUUAUGCGUUGUUGGGUAGGGGAGCGUUCUGUAAGCCUGUGAAGGUGUGCUGUGAGGCAUGCUGGAGGUAUCAGAAGUGCGAAUGCUGACAUAAGUAACGAUAAAGCGGGUGAAAAGCCCGCUCGCCGGAAGACCAAGGGUUCCUGUCCAACGUUAAUCGGGGCAGGGUGAGUCGACCCCUAAGGCGAGGCCGAAAGGCGUAGUCGAUGGGAAACAGGUUAAUAUUCCUGUACUUGGUGUUACUGCGAAGGGGGGACGGAGAAGGCUAUGUUGGCCGGGCGACGGUUGUCCCGGUUUAAGCGUGUAGGCUGGUUUUCCAGGCAAAUCCGGAAAAUCAAGGCUGAGGCGUGAUGACGAGGCACUA
rnacentral:rRNA from 1 species